rnacentral:sRNA from 1 species
AUGCUCCUAUGUUGUGUUAAGUGUUGGCAGAUAUCCGGCCCGCCAAAAGCGGCACCGGUACUUGAACCCCGAACUUCGCCCUCCCCAUAUGAAGUUUGGGGUUUUUUUUGCCUGC